CCCGCUGAACGUAAGCAUAUCAAUAAGCGGAGGAAGCAGAAACCAACAGGGAUUGCCCUAGUAACGGCGAGUGAAGCGGCAACAGCUCAAAUUUGGAAUCUGGUCCUCGUGUCCGAGUUGUAAUUUGUAGAGGAUGCUUUUGGCGCGGUGCCUUCCGAGUUCCCUGGAACGGGACGCCUUAGAGGGUGAGAGCCCCGUACGGUUGGACACCAAGCCUCUGUAAAGCUCCUUCGACGAGUCGAGUAGUUUGGGAAUGCUGCUCUAAAUGGGAGGUAAAUUUCUUCUAAAGCUAAAUAUUGGCCAGAGACCGAUAGCGCACAAGUAGAGUGAUCGAAAGAUGAAAAGCACUUUGAAAAGAGGGUUAAAUAGCACGUGAAAUUGUUGAAAGGGAAGCGUUUGCGACCAGACUCAUUCCUAGCGGAUCAUCCGGUGUUAUCACCGGUGCACUUUGCUAGGUCAAGGCCAGCAUCGGUUUCCGUAGGGGGAUAAAAGCUUGGGGAAUGUAGCUCCCUCGAGAGUGUUAUAGCCCCUCGCAUAAUACCCUUAUGGUGACCGAGGACCGCGCUUCUUGCAAGGAUGCUGGCGUAAUGGUUGUCAACGACCCGUCUUGAUACACGG
rnacentral:rRNA from 1 species